GAUGAACGCUGGCGGCGUGCCUAAUACAUGCAAGUCGAGCGAACAGACGAGGAGCUUGCUCCUCUGACGUUAGCGGCGGACGGGUGAGUAACACGUGGAUAACCUACCUAUAAGACUGGGAUAACUUCGGGAAACCGGAGCUAAUACCGGAUAAUAUAUUGAACCGCAUGGUUCCAUCGUGAAAGACGGUUUUGCUGUCACUUAUAGAUGGAUCCGCGCCGCAUUAGCUAGUUGGUAAGGUAACGGCUUACCAAGGCAACGAUGCGUAGCCGACCUGAGAGGGUGAUCGGCCACACUGGAACUGAGACAGGGUCCAGACUCCUACGGUAGGCAGCAGUAGGGAAUCUUCCGCAAUGGGCGAAAGCCUGACGGAGCAACGCCGCGUGAGUGAUGAAGGUCUUCGGAUCGUAAAACUCUGUUAUUAGGGAAGAACAAAUGUGUAAGUAACUAUGCACGUCUUGACGGUACCUAAUCAGAAAGCCACGGCUAACUACGUG
rnacentral:rRNA from 1 species